rnacentral:rRNA from 1 species
AGAGUUUGAUCCUGGCUCAGGACGAACGCUGGCGGCGUGCUUAACACAUGCAAGUCGAACGGUGAAGGAAAGCUUGCUUUCUGGAUCAGUGGCGAACGGGUGAGUAACACGUGAGCAAUCUGCCCUUGACUCUGGGAUAAGCGUUGGAAACGACGUCUAAUACCGGAUACGACCCUCGGAGGCAUCUCCUGGGGGUGGAAAGAAUUUUGGUCAAGGAUGAGCUCGCGGCCUAUCAGCUUGUUGGUGAGGUAAUGGCUCACCAAGGCGACGACGGGUAGCCGGCCUGAGAGGGUGACCGGCCACACUGGGACUGAGACACGGCCCAGACUCCUACGGGAGGCAGCAGUGGGGAAUAUUGCACAAUGGGCGCAAGCCUGAUGCAGCAACGCCGCGUGAGGGACGACGGCCUUCGGGUUGUAAACCUCUUUUAGUAGGGAAGAAGCGAAAGUGACGGUACCUGCAGAAAAAGCACCGGCUAACUACGUGCCAGCAGCCGCGGUAAUACGUAGGGUGCAAGCGUUGUCCGGAAUUAUUGGGCGUAAAGAGCUCGUAGGCGGUUUGUCGCGUCUGCUGUGAAAACCCGAGGCUCAACCUCGGGCCUGCAGUGGGUACGGGCAGACUAGAGUGCGGUAGGGGAGAUUGGAAUUCCUGGUGUAGCGGUGGAAUGCGCGAUAUCAGGAGGAACACCGAUGGCGAAGGCAGAUCUCUGGGCCGUAACUGACGCUGAGGAGCGAAAGCAUGGGGAGCGAACAGGAUUAGAUACCCUAGUAGUCC